rnacentral:lncRNA from 1 species
UGAGGCGUCUUCCACCAGCUCCUGAGGCUGCAGCACAGCGCUCCGCCCGCCCUCAUCUCCGGGGAGAGGCUCUUUGAAUUUUCUCACUAAACAAACAUUGAUUGCGGCCCCAGGAGAAACGAAGACGGAAGGAGCUGUGCUGGGGAGCAGGGGUUUUAGGGUUGCGUUUGGACGGCGGCUCCCUGGACCAGGUGCUGAAAGAGGCCAAGAGGAUUCCCGAGGAGAUCCUGGGGAAAGUCAGCAUCGCGGUUCUCCGGGGCUUGGCGUACCUCCGAGAGAAGCACCAGAUCAUGCACCGAGAUGUGAAGCCCUCCAACAUCCUCGUGAACUCUAGAGGGGAGAUCAAGCUGUGUGACUUCGGGGUGAGCGGCCAGCUCAUCGACUCCAUGGCCAACUCCUUCGUGGGCACGCGCUCCUACAUGGCUCCGGAG